rnacentral:rRNA from 1 species
GCAAGUAGAACGCUGAAGGAGGAGAUUGUGCUUCUGGAUGAGUUGCGAACGGGUGAGUAACGCGUAGGUAACCUGCCUGGUAGCGGGGGAUAACUAUUGGAAACGAUAGCUAAUACCGCAUGACAACAGUUAUUGCAUGAUAACAGUUUAAAAGGGGCAACUGCUCCGCUACCAGAUGGACCUGCGUUGUAUUAGCUAGUUGGUGAGGUAACGGCUCACCAAGGCGACGAUACAUAGCCGACCUGAGAGGGUGAUC